AACGAACGCUGGCGGCAGGCUUAACACAUGCAAGUCGAACGGUUCCUUCGGGGACAGUGGCAGACGGGUGAGUAACGCGUGGGAAUCUACCCAGUACUACGGGAUAGCUCCGGGAAACUGGAAUUAAUACCGUAUACGCCCUUUUGGGGAAAGAUUUAUCGGGAUUGGAUAAGCCCGCGUAAGAUUAGCAAGUUGGUGGGGUAAUGGCCCACCAAGGCGACGAUCUUUAGCUGGUCUGAGAGGAUGAUCAGCCACACUGGGACUGAGACACGGCCCAGACUCCUACGGGAGGCAGCAGUGGGGAAUAUUGGAAAAUGGGCGCAAGCCUGAUCCAGCCAUGCCGCGUGAGUGAUGAAGGCCUUAGGGUUGUAAAGCUCUUUCACCGGAGAAGAUAAUGACGGUACCCGGAGAAGAAGCCCCGGCUAACUUCGUGCCAGCAGCCGCCGCGGUAA
rnacentral:rRNA from 1 species